rnacentral:rRNA from 1 species
GAUGAACGCUGGCGGCGUGCCUAAUACAUGCAAGUCGAGCGAACAGAUGAGGAGCUUGCUCCUCUGACGUUAGCGGCGGACGGGUGAGUAACACGUGGAUAACCUACCUAUAAGACUGGGAUAACUUCGGGAAACCGGAGCUAAUACCGGAUAAUAUAUUGAACCGCAUGGUUCAAUAGUGAAAGACGGUUUUGCUGUCACUUAUUGAUGGAUCCGCGCCGCAUUAGCUAGUUGGUAUGGUAACGGCUUACCAAGGCAACGAUGCGUAGCCGGCCUGAGAGGGUGAUCGGCCACACUGGAACUGAGACACGGUCCAGACUCCUACGGGAGGCAGCAGUAGGGAAUCUUCCGCAAUGGGCGAAAGCCUGACGGAGCAACGCCGCGUGAGUGAUGAAGGUCUUCGGAUCGUAGAACUCUGUUAUUAGGGAAGAACAAAUGUGUAAGUAGCUAUGCACGUCUUGACGGUACCUAAUCAGAAAGCCACGGCUAACUACGUG